UACGAAGGGUGCAAACGUUGCUCGGAAUUAUUGGGCGUAAAGCGCACGUAGGCGGCUAUCUAAGUCGGAUGUGAAAUCCCUCGGCUUAACCAAGGAAGUGCACCCGAAACUGGAUAGCUUGAGUACAGAAGAGGAUCGCGGAAUUCCCGGUGUAGAGGUGAAAUUCGUAGAUAUCGGGAGGAACACCAGUGGCGAAGGCGACACACUGGCCCGUUACUGACGCUGAGGCGCGAAAGCGUGGGGAGCAAACAGG
rnacentral:rRNA from 1 species